rnacentral:rRNA from 1 species
UAGGACGCAAGUUUAUACCGUAGCUUGCUACACCAUAGACUGUGAGUUGCGAACGGGUGAGUAACGCGUAGGUAACCUACCUAUUAGAGGGGGAUAACUAUUGGAAACGAUAGCUAAUACCGCAUAACAGUAUGUAACACAUGUUAGAUGCUUGAAAGAUGCAAUUGCAUCGCUAGUAGAUGGACCUGCGUUGUAUUAGCUAGUAGGUAGGGUAAUGGCCUACCUAGGCAACGAUACAUAGCCGACCUGAGAGGGUGAUCGGCCACACUGGGACUGAGACACGGCCCAGACUCCUACGGGAGGCAGCAGUAGGGAAUCUUCGGCAAUGGGGGGAACCCUGACCGAGCAACGCCGCGUGAGUGAAGAAGGUUUUCGGAUCGUAAAGCUCUGUUGUUAAGGAAGAACGAGUGUGAGAAUGGAAAGUUCAUGCUGUGACGGUACUUAACCAGAAAGGGACGGCUAACUACGUGCCAGCAGCCGCGGUAAUACGUAGGUCCCGAGCGUUGUCCGGAUUUAUUGGGCGUAAAGCGAGCGCAGGCGGUUAGAAAAGUCUGAAGUGAAAGGCAGUGGCUCAACCAUUGUAGGCUUUGGAAACUGUUUAACUUGAGUGCAGAAGGGGAGAGUGGAAUUCCAUGUGUAGCGGUGAAAUGCGUAGAUAUAUGGAGGAACACCGGUGGCGAAAGCGGCUCUCUGGUCUGUAACUGACGCUGAGGCUCGAAAGCGUGGGGAGCGAACAGGAUUAGAUACCCUGGUAGUCCACGCCGUANACGAUGAGUGCUAGGUGUUAGGUCCUUUCCGGGACUUAGUGCCGCAGCUAACGCAUUA